CCUACGGGUGGCAGCAGUGAGGAAUAUUGGUCAAUGGGCGCGAGCCUGAACCAGCCAAGUCGCGUGAAUGAUGACUGCCCUACGGGUUGUAAACUCUUUUUAUAAAGGAAUAAAUUGAGGCACGUGAGCCAUUUUCUACGUACUUUAUGAAUAAGGAUCGGCUAACUACGUGCCAGCAGCCGCGGUAAUACGGAGGAUCCGAGAGUUAUCCGGAUUUAUUGGGUUUAAAGGGAGCGUAGAUGGGUUGUUAAGUUAGUUGUGAAAGUUUGCGGCUCAACCCUAAAAUUGCAAUUGAUACUGGCAGCCUUGAGUACAGUUGAGGUAGGCGGAAUUCGUGGUGUAGCGGUGAAAUGCUUAGAUAUCACGAGGAACUCCGGUUGCGAAGGCAGCCUACUAGACUGCAACUGACAUUGAUGCUCGAAAGUGUGGGUAUCAAACAGGAUUAGAUACCCGAGUAGUC
rnacentral:rRNA from 1 species